rnacentral:rRNA from 1 species
AGUGGGGAAUCUUCCGCAAUGGACGAAAGUCUGACGGAGCAACGCCGCGUGAGUGAUGACGGCCUUCGGGUUGUAAAGCUCUGUUAAUCGGGACGAAAGGCCUUCUUGCGAAUAGUGAGAAGGAUUGACGGUACCGGAAUAGAAAGCCACGGCUAACUACGUGCCAGCAGCCGCGGUAAUACGUAGGUGGCAAGCGUUGUCCGGAAUUAUUGGGCGUAAAGCGCGCGCAGGCGGAUAGGUCAGUCUGUCUUAAAAGUUCGGGGCUUAACCCCGUGAUGGGAUGGAAACUGCCAAUCUAGAGUAUCGGAGAGGAAAGUGGAAUUCCUAGUGUAGCGGUGAAAUGCGUAGAUAUUAGGAAGAACACCAGUGGCGAAGGCGACUUUCUGGACGAAAACUGACGCUGAGGCGCGAAAGCCAGGGGAGCGAA